rnacentral:lncRNA from 1 species
GCGUAUUUUAAAUUUAAGAAAUAUUUUCCAAAAAUUUAAUAUUUCUAAACUAGACAUUACGCUUUCGAGGUGUGAACAGUUUCUGUUUUGCAGCAGUUAAAGUUUGCCACUAGUUUAGGGUCUAAACCUAGCUAACAACCGCCGGUGUUGUUGCUUAAGUGUUUGCAUAUAGGUAAGUUGAGCAUUUUUGCUUAUAUUUUUUUUUCAAGCGGCUUUCUUUUAUGCUAUUUUGCUUGCUCUUUUUAUUUCUUUUUGCUUUCUAGUUAUUAAUACUUCAUUCACUGGUUAUUUCUUACAAUGAGUGAGGAGAAGGGGGGCUCAGUCCCCCCUUAUCCUGAUACUUCUUCUCCGGCUAAAAUUGCAAUGACUAAUAAUUCCGAAAAAAAU